AGGGGUAUAGCUCAGUGGUCGAGUUCAUAUUUAGCAUGCACGAGGUUCUGGGUUCAAUCCCCAGUACCUCCA
rnacentral:tRNA from 1 species